AGGAACAGCGGCUUGAGGACCGAAAGCCUUAGCACACGUCUUCAGGAGUUGCUGAGGCUCCCAGGGGCACACAGCUCCAAUCCAAAUAGAAUCCGUCCACUGGCAGCGCUGGACUCGAUUGGGCACAAACAGGAUAGACGGAGAUAAAAAUGCGUUCAUUAUCCCAUCUGCGGCGGCUUGAAUGAGAGAAAAGUGCUUCUGUAUCAGGCAACGCAAGCCACCCAAACCUUUUUACUUCUAUUAAAAAACAUGAAGGUAA